UAUUAUUUCUCCCAAUCUUGUCACCC
rnacentral:piRNA from 1 species